CCUGCGGCCAAAGCCAAAUCUGCGGCCGAAGCUAAACCUACGGCUGUAGACAAACCUGCGACCCGUCGGUCCCUUACGGCCCGUAGUCAAACCUUCGACCCGAAGGUCCAUUACAUCCUCUUAACCAGUUCCUUUAAUUAACUCAUUUCGAUUAAACUUUCCUUAAACGCAUUACAAUUGCAUGACUUAGAUUUUUAAGAUCAAACUUUGAUUUCUUACAUAAAGAUCCUAACAUAACUUGAUUAUCAAUUCAUCAAUUUUAUCAUGCUUUUCCUAAGAACAUAAUGAACAACCUUUCAAUAAACAAUUACUAUCAU
rnacentral:lncRNA from 1 species